rnacentral:siRNA from 1 species
UCACUUUCUCUCCUACUUUAU